rnacentral:rRNA from 1 species
UACGUAGGUGGCAAGCGUUGUCCGGAAUUAUUGGGCGUAAAGCGCGCGCAGGCGGUCCUUUAAGUCUGAUGUGAAAGCCCACGGCUCAACCGUGGAGGGUCAUUGGAAACUGGGGGACUUGAGUACAGAAGAGAAGAGUGGAAUUCCACGUGUAGCGGUGAAAUGCGUAGAGAUGUGGAGGAACACCAGUGGCGAAGGCGACUCUUUGGUCUGUAACUGACGCUGAGGUGCGAAAGCGUGGGGAGCGAACAGG